rnacentral:rRNA from 1 species
AUGGAGGCUAAGAAACUGUCGUUGAAUGACUCCCCAGAUAGAAUCUUGUGGGAUUUUGAUAGUAAAGGGAAGUUUACUACUAAAUCCUUAUAUGUAUGGUUGGAAAGAAAUCUUUCAGGUCCUAACUAUAGGAUGGUAUGGAAAGCACCUAUUCCGCUAAAAAUUAAGAUUUUCCUUUGGCAGCUGUUUCAGAACGCAGUUCUCACUCGUGAUAAUAUGCGCAUUAGAAACUGGCCUGGAAAUCCUGUGUGCUCCUUCUGUAAUGAAGUCGAGACAGCAAAUCAUUUGUUCUUUACCUGGUCGCUUGCUCGGUCGGUUUAG